GAUGAACGCUGGCGGCGUGCCUAAUACAUGCAAGUCGAGCGAACGGACGAGAAGCUUGCUUCUCUGAUGUUAGCGGCGGACGGGUGAGUAACACGUGGAUAACCUACCUAUAAGACUGGGAUAACUUCGGGAAACCGUAGCUAAUACCGGAUAAUAUUUUGAACCGCAUGGUUCAAAAGUGAAAGACGGUCUUGCUGUCACUUAUAGAUGGAUCCGCGCUGCAUUAGCUAGUUGGUAAGGUAACGGCUUACCAAGGCAACGAUGCAUAGCCGACCUGAGAGGGUGAUCGGCCACACGGGAACUGAGACACGGUCGAGACUCCUACGGGAGGCAGCAGUAGGGAAUCUUCCGCAAUGGGCGAAAGCCUGACGGAGCAACGCCGCGUGAGUGAUGAAGGUCUUCGGAUCGUAAAACUCUGUUAUUAGGGAAGAACAUAUGUGUAAGUAACUGUGCACAUCUUGACGGUACCUAAUCAGAAAGCCACGGCUAACUACGUG
rnacentral:rRNA from 1 species